UACGAAGGGGGCUAGCGUUGCUCGGAAUCACUGGGCGUAAAGGGUGCGUAGGCGGGUCUUUAAGUCAGGGGUGAAAUCCUGGAGCUCAACUCCAGAACUGCCUUUGAUACUGAGGAUCUUGAGUUCGGGAGAGGUGAGUGGAACUGCGAGUGUAGAGGUGAAAUUCGUAGAUAUUACGCAAGAACACCAGUGGCGAAGGCGGCUCACUGGCCCGAUA
rnacentral:rRNA from 1 species